rnacentral:pre_miRNA from 1 species
AUGCAGGCCAAGGUAGGGAUAGGGGAAACUCCCCUAUUGUGAGACUCACAAUAGGGGAGUUUCCCCUAUCCCGACCUUGGAGUAUA